rnacentral:piRNA from 1 species
UAUUGUGUAAUGGAGCGCAGUUUCGAGGC